rnacentral:rRNA from 1 species
CCUACGGGUGGCUGCAGUGGGGAAUAUUGGGCAAUGGGCGCAAGCCUGAACCAGCAAAGCCGCGUGAAGGAAGAAGGCUUUCGGGUUGUAAACUUCUUUUUACAGGGAAGUGUAGAAGACGGUGCCUGUCGAUUUAGCCACGGAUAACUACGUGCAAGCAGCCGCGGUAAUACGGAGGUGGCCAGCGGUGUCCGGAUUCACUGGGUGUAAAGGGCGUGUAGCCGGGUUGACAAGUCAGAGGUGAAUUCCUGCGGCUUAACCGCAGAACUGCAUUUGAAACUGUUGGUCUUGAGUACUGGCGAGGUAGACGGAAUUCGUAGUGUAGCGGUGAAAUGCGUAGAUAUCAGGAAGAACA